rnacentral:lncRNA from 1 species
UUAGAUAUUCAUGUUUAAAUUAUUAUAAGAUUAUAGUCCCUAUUUUCAAUAGCUAAGCAUAAUUUAUUUAAAAUUCCUUUUUACAUAAGAAUAAAAUAAAUUAUAUCAGUAAAUCUCCCCCCAGACUUAAAUUACACUGUCCCAGUGUAACUCAGCCGGAGUUAUGAUGAAUAGUUUAUGAUGUACGAAAUGUAACAAGUAAG